UAACUUUCCGUCUACGUUAAC
rnacentral:piRNA from 1 species